GAGUUCGCGGGAGAGUAAGUUAUUGCCAGGGUUUUUAUUUUAUACUUUAAACCUUAAAUUUAUUUUUUAAAUGUUCAUGUUUUUGAAUGUUUUAUUCAAAUAAUGUAAAAAAUAAAAUAGAUAUUGACAUGGAUUGAACAAAAGAUAUAUAUUAUUUUAUGUUGCAUAAACAAAUUGGCAAAAUAGAGAUGGAAGAUAAAAAUAUGGUCAAAGUAAUAAGAGUCUAUGGUGAAUGCC
rnacentral:misc_RNA from 1 species